UACGUAGGUGGCAAGCGUUGUCCGGAUUUACUGGGCGUAAAGGGCGUGCAGGCGGUUUGUUAAGUGCAGGGUGAAAGCUCCCGGCUCAACUGGGAGAGGUCCUUGCAUACUGGCAAACUCGAGGGAGGCAGAGGAAAGUGGGAUUCCCGGUGUAGUGGUGAUAUGCGUAGAUAUCAGGAAGAACACCCGUGGCGAAGGCGGCUCUCUGGGACGGUACUGACGCUGAGACGCGAAAGCGUGGGGAGCGAACAGG
rnacentral:rRNA from 1 species